AUUUAUUUAUAUAUUUUGUUUAAUUUUUGUUGAGGUUAUUUGUUUUUUUAUUUUUGAGUUGUAAGUAUUUUUUGUAUAUUUUUGAUAUUAAUUUUUUAUUAGAUAUAUUAUUUGUAAAUAUUUUUAUUUUAUGGUUCGGUUGUUUUUUUAUUUUUUUGAUGAUGGUUUUUAAAGUAUAAGAGUUUUUAAUUUUGAUGAAGUUUA
rnacentral:misc_RNA from 1 species